GAAUGAUAGUCGGGCUGAAGACUCUACUUGACUAGCUGAGAGGAGGUGCAUGGCCGUCGUCAGUUCGUACUGUGAAGCAUCCUGUUAAGUCAGGCAACGAGCGAGACCCACGCCAACAGUUGCCAGCUCGUCCUCCGGGAUGGUGGGGACACUGUUGGGACCGCUCUGCUAAAGAGGAGGAAGGAAUGGGCAACGGUAGGUCAGCAUGCCCCGAAUUAUCUGGGCUACACGCGGGCUACAAUGGGUGGGACAAUGGGUAUCGACACCGAAAGGUGAAGGCAAUCUCCUAAACCCAUCCGUAGUUCGGAUUGUGGGCUGCAACUCGCCCACAUGAAGCUGGAAUCUGUAGUAAUCGUGUCUCAAAAUGGCACGGUGAAUAUGUCCCUGCUCCUU
rnacentral:rRNA from 1 species